rnacentral:piRNA from 1 species
UAGAGUACCAUUAUGAACGGCGAUGCCU